rnacentral:lncRNA from 1 species
ACCUCUCUCUCUAACUACACUAGCCGUCACACCUUAGACCCCCUACUCUCAUCUUCCUCACACCACACCACCCCCAAACAACCCCCCUGCCCAGUUCGGCCAUCUCUAGCUAGCCAUGGCUUCCAUCCGUCUUCAACAUCUCCAAAACCCUCGUGCAAACCAGACGUCCACUGCAACAUAUACCAGCAACCAUCCUGUCCAAACAACCCUCAACUUCAUCAUCUUCGUCGUUCAGUUCUCUGUCCAGCAGCAACUUCAAAAGUCCAGCCCUGCUCCAUCCAGCCCCACGAUUGAACCAGUUCGUCGAACAGCUACCAAAUGAACCAACAUUCUCGAUGAAACAUCCCCUCUAGCCCGUCGACUUCAUCGUCCCAAACGCACCAACAAACGUCCAGUCACGUCAAACCAGCGACCAAACGUUCUCCUUCACCUCGUCGUCAAUCAUUUUGUUUGAGUUCGUCGUCAGUCAUCAUCUUCCGUUGUUCGUUGUUCAUCGUUUGUUUAAAACCAUGGCUGGUCGGACAUAUUUUGCUUUACGUCGAAGUUGAAGUCUUUUUCCGAAUAUUCUGGUUCGAUGUUGUUUAAAGUCAUUUAGUCGUAUGUUUAAAACCAUGGCUGGUCGGACAGAUUUUGCUUUACGUCAAAGUUGAAGUCUUUGUCCGAAUAUUCCGGUUCGAUGUCGUUUAAAGUCAUUUAAAGUUUGUUUCAUUUCGGUUUAAUUGGAAAGCAAUCCAGGUUUUACUUAUUUUCCCAUUUUAACUUGUUGCUUGAUUUUUGUGGUGAUAGGCAUGAUGUUCAUCAAUUU